UCAUGAAACGGAUUCGUCACAAAAAAGCUGGAUACCGAAACCAGCAGCAUACAAGCAUAAACUUUUGCCAACACACGUUACGUCCACUUUAUUGGAUGAUAUUUUGCAACGAAACUAAAAAGGCAAAAUAGUAUGGGAUGGUGUUCGGUUGCCGGCAGUGUUCGACACCCCACCGUAACUUUUGACAGAAAGCAGAUAGCGUCAAUCUGACAAAUGUCAUGUGUGUGUAAUAGCAGCACGUUCUUUUUGUGCCGAAUUGCGAAGCAAACAGUCACUUGUACUUUUUGCUGCGUUCAAAAUAACUUAAUUACGUGAAUAUUAACACAAAAGUUUUUUCUGACUAUUUUUAGAGUAUCAUGAAUUGCAGAGCAUCAAUCGGAAAGGAGACCUAUUUUAAUCCACGAGAUAGUACGGUUAACAAGACAAAUCCAUCCGGAUUGAUCUACGAUCGUUUCCACAACCGCAACAAGAAAGCAUUGGUCAAGUCCAAAAUUACAGUUAUUACUUCUUUGCAAGCUCUACGGAAUAAGGCAUUGGAACUUCCAUUCGAUGAUAUCGAGAAACGAAUGUCCCACAAAAACUGGUUGCGGAACAAAUCCGAACCAAAUGAACAAAUUGUACAACACUGGAAAGACUCCUUCUUACUACGCGUCAGAGAUAUCCAUGGAGACAAGGAAGUAAACAAAAAAAAAUUUAUCACAGAAUGGUCCAGACCAAUGAACAAAAACGAAUAAUUGCUGGUAGACUUAGAUUUUGAUUCGAUUCAUGAACGAUCGGGAGAACGACACAAACUGGUUGAUAACUGGGAACAGUUUACUGUUGGUUUUAGACAGUACAUUUUGCUGAAUGACUAAAGAGAUGAUCUCUCUCGGAUGCUUGUAUUACAUUUGAAUGAUCCAGAUUUGCCUCAAAACGCUCGCGAUGUACAGUUUUUCACGCUGUGCUGGGUUUGCGACUCCCUGCAGGAAUACUCGAAAGCGAUAAGUGACCUUAGGGGCGAGUUUGAAUCCCGUAAUAUUCCCUUCACACCAAGAAUAUACGCAAUUGAAAAACCUAGAUUGCUAGAAUCGUUCUACGUAGUUACAAGCUUACUAGAGUAUCAGCUACCUUCCUUCCUGCGUUGUAUAGAUGUGAUUGUAAAACUGAAUUGCGUCUUGAAUUUCGAAUAUCCGGAGAGUUGUGAACUUUUUUGGGGUUUUGUUAACCUGUAUUUCUACGACAUCAAGUACAUUCGAAAAUCAAAAAACAACAAAUUACUACAACUGUUUGCAUAUUUGAAUAAACGGAAAAAUGAACUUUGUUGAUUGUAUCCAAAAAAUUCCGCAUAAUGUGCACUCUCCCUUACAACAAUUCUAUAAAGCGCACAAUAAUCUGGACUCAGAGCACAGGAAGUUUUUAGCUCAUACUAUUGUAGACUUUUACAUCACAAAUAACGAUUUGCUGAACUGAUCUCGGGACGAUUUCUUUCAGAUUUCAGUAACUACGAUUUCUUUCAGAUUUCAGAUACCUAUUUUAAUCCACGAGAUAGUACGGUUAACAAGACAAAUCCAUCCGGAUUGAUCUACGAUCGUUUCCACAACCGCAACAAGAAAGCAUUGGUCAAGUCCAAAAUUACAGUUAUUACUUCUUUGCAAGCUCUACGGAAUAAGGCAUUGGAACUUCCAUUCGAUGAUAUCGAGAAACGAAUGUCCCACAAAAACUGGUUGCGGAACAAAUCCGAACCAAAUGAACAAAUUGUACAACACUGGAAAGACUCCUUCUUACUACGCGUCAGAGAUAUCCAUGGAGACAAGGAAGUAAACAAAAAAAAAAGUUUAUCACAGAAUGGUCCAGACCAAUGAACAAAAACGGAUAAUUGCUGGUAGACUUAGGUUUUGAUUCGAUUCAUGAACGAUCGGGAGAACGACACAAACUGGUUGAUAACUGGGAACAGUUUACUGUUGGUUUUAGACAGUACAUUUUGCUGAAUAACUAAAGAGAUGAUCUCUCUCGGAUGCUUGUAUUACAUUUGAAUGAUCCAGAUUUGCCUCAAAACGCUCGCGAUGUACAGUUUUCACGCUGUGCUGGGUUUGCGACUCCCUGCAGGAAUACUCGAAAGCGAUAAGUGACCUUAGGGGCGAGUUUGAAUCCCGUAAUAUUCCCUUCACACCAAGAAUAUACGCAAUUGAAAAACCUAAAUUGCUAGAAUCGUUCUACGUAGUUACAAGCUUACUAGAGUAUCAGCUACCUUCCUUCCUGCGUUGUAUAGAUGUGAUUGUAAAACUGAAUUGCGUCUUGAAUUUCGAAUAUCCGGAGAGUUGUGAACUUUUUUGGGGUUUUGUUAACCUGUAUUUCUACGACAUCAAGUACAUUCGAAAAUCAAAAAACAACAAAUUACUACAACUGUUUGCAUAUUUGAAUAAACGGAAAAAUGAACUGCCAACUGUGUAAGGAAUUGCAUAGCAAUUUGGAAGCCUUAUCGAUCAUUUAACUUUAACACAUGGAACACCUUCAUUUUUCAAAUAUAAUUGUACAAUAUGCCGACAACAAAUAUAUAUCGUUUCAAAUGACAUAUACGAUUACAGCAUGGUGAAGUUUUUGAUACAGUUGGCGAAGGAAGUACUUCGAACUACGAUAAAAAUGUGAACGAAAAUGUAUACGUAGAUCCUGAAGAACCCGUAGAAAGGUUAUAUAACAUACAGUCUUGUACCACUUCGAAUGAUACAGAGAGAAAUAUAGAGAAAGUUAGUGAAAAUUUUAGAUUUGAGACAGAA